ensembl:lncRNA
CCCUUUUCCAGAAUAGACCUGCGCCGUUACAGAUCGGACCUGCUAAAAACAUCUGUUUUGGUUCUGAUUAUCAUGUUUGUCGCGCUGAAAUCAUGCGUUUUAACGCAUACGAGUUUAAAUUUCUGAUAAAUGGUUUUCUGAGCGUGCACAGCCAAAGCGCACGGACAGAAAGCGGCCACCACACAGCAUGUAAUAAUAGAUGUCAGGUUACCAUGGCAACGUCAUAUCCCAUCCUUGGACAAGUGUUUCAGUUUGCGAAUGAGAGGAAAUGGGAUCUUUACACCCAAUUUGAAGUGAAGGGCAGUGGGACGCGGUUUGCUUGUGUUAGUGUUUCCGAGAACACACACAUGCUGUAUUCUGGCAGUGUUCAGAGUUAAUCCCCACUCAGCCACGCUCCACGCUCACGCUGCAAGACGGCAAAUGUAACACAAAAACACGCUGGAAAAAGACAGGACGGUGUCUAUUAACACACGACUCUUUUAUCAAGAAUUCAUGGAUUAUUUCAGAUCUCUCUUUCUCCUUGAUUUGCUUCCAAAC